AACGAACGCUGGCGGCAGGCUUAACACAUGCAAGUCGAACGGUUGUAGCAAUACAGCAGUGGCGCACGGGUGAGUAACGCGUGGAUAUCUGCCUUUUGGUUCGGAAUAACUCCGGGAAACUGGAGCUAAUACCGGAUGGUUCCUACGGGAUAAAGAUUUAUCGCCAAAAGAUGAGUCCGCGUACGAUUAGCUAGUUGGCGGGGUAAUGGCCCACCAAGGCGACGAUCGUUAGCUGGUCUGAGAGGACGAUCAGCCACACUGGGACUGAGACACGGCCCAGACUCCUACGGGAGGCAGCAGUGGGGAAUAUUGGACAAUGGGGGCAACCCUGAUCCAGCCAUGCCGCGUGAGUGAUGAAGGCCUUCGGGUUGUAAAGCUCUUUUGGCGGGGACGAUGAUGACGGUACCCGCAGAAUAAGCCCCGGCUAACUUCGUGCCAGCCGCCGCAGUAAGAC
rnacentral:rRNA from 1 species